AGCCCGUCUCCAUGUCCGCGGGGAGCGCGACACAUCCUGGAGCUGGCGGGCGCCGCAGCAAAUGGGACCAACCGGCUCCUGCUCCCCUUCUCUUUCUCCCGCCAGCGGCCCCGGGUGGAGAGGUCACCAGUGGGGGAACUCCUGGGGGUGCCACGGCUGCUCCCUCAGGAGCAUUGGAUGCCGCUGCAGCUGUGGCUGCCAAGAUCAAUGCCAUGCUCAUGGCCAAAGGGAAGCUGAAACCAAAUCAGAAUGCUGCCGAGAAGCUUCAGGCUCCUGGCAAAGGCCUAACUAGCAAUAAAAGCAAAGAUGACCUGGUAGUUGCUGAAGUGGAAAUCAAUGAUGUGCCUCUCACAUGUAGGAACUUGCUCACACGAGGACAGACUCAAGAUGAGAUUAGCAGACUUAGUGGAGCUGCUGUGUCAACACGAGGGAGAUUCAUGACUACUGAGGAGAAGGCUAAAGUGGGACCUGGGGAUCGUCCUUUGUAUCUUCAUAUUCAGGGCCAGACACGGGAAUUAGUGGACAGAGCUGUAAACCGAAUAAAAGAAAUUAUCACCAAUGGAGUAGUGAAAGCAGCUACAGGAACAAGUCCGACUUUUAAUGGUGCAACAGUCACUGUCUAUCACCAACCAGCACCCAUUGCUCAGCUGUCUCCAGCUGUUAGCCAGAAGCCUCCUUUCCAGUCAGGGAUGCAUUAUGUUCAAGAUAAAUUAUUUGUGGGUCUAGAACAUGCUGUGCCCACUUUCAACGUUAAAUAGAAGGUGGAAGGUCCAGGCUGCUCCUAUUUGCAGCACAUUCAGAUUGAAACAGGUGCCAAAGUCUUCCUACGGGGCAAAGGUUCAGGCUGCAUUGAGCCAGCAUCGGGUCGAGAAGCUUUUGAACCUAUGUAUAUUUAUAUCAGUCAUCCCAAACCAGAAGGCCUGGCUGCUGCCAAGAAGCUUUGUGAGAAUCUCUUGCAAACAGUUCAUGCUGAAUACUCUAGAUUUGUGAAUCAAAUUAAUACUGCUGUACCUUUACCAGGCUAUACACAACCCUCUGCUAUAAGUAGUGUCCCUCCUCAACCACCAUAUUAUCCAUCCAAUGGCUAUCAGUCUGGUUACCCUGUUGUUCCCCCUCCUCAGCAGCCAGUUCAACCUCCUUAUGGAGUACCAAGCAUAGUGCCACCAGCUGUUUCACUGGCACCUGGAGUCUUGCCAGCAUUACCUACUGGAGUCCCACCUGUGCCAACACAAUACCCGAUAACACAAGUGCAUCCUCCAGCUAGUACUGGACAGAGUCCAUUGGGUGGUCCUUUUCUUCCUGCUGCUCCUGUCAAAACUGCCUUGCCUGCUGGACCUCAGCCCCAGCCCCCACUCCCAACUCAGCCCCAGUCACAGAAGAGACGAUUCACAGAGGAGCUGCCAGAUGAACGGGAAUCUGGACUUCUUGGAUACCAGCAUGGACCCAUUCAUAUGACUAAUUUAGGUACAGGCUUCUCCAGUCAGAAUGAGAUUGAAGGCGCAGGAUCGAAGCCAGCAAGUUCCUCAGGCAAAGAGCGAGAGAGGGACAGGCAGUUGAUGCCUCCACCAGCCUUUCCAGUGACUGGAAUAAAAACAGAUUCUGAUGAAAGGAAUGUGACCGGGACCUUAACAGGGAGCCAUGAUUAUCCAGCCAAGAAGAUGAAGACUACAGAGAAGGGAUUUGGCUUAGUAGCUUAUGCUGCAGAUUCAUCUGAUGAAGAGGAGGAACAUGGAGGUCAUAAAAAUCUGGGUCAAAGAAACUACUUGACUUUUUUAAAGCUGGUCAGAACUCAUCACAGAAAUGAAACACAGUGGUCUGUCUCUCUGAGAACUGGUUGCAGCUAA